ACAAGUUAUGUUUUGUCUUUAAGUUUAAGAGUACUGACCAUAGCACAAGGUGCCUGAAGGAAGUGCAGUGACGAUCACACUGAACUAAAUGACCUACUCUCACCUUUGGAGUAAUGUCCUUGAACUUUGCCCUCUUUUCCACAUGGUUCUCCAGCAGAAAUGUCUGAGUGCUUUGUCUACUUCACAGCUAUGAGAUAAUUUGGCCUGGACAGUACUUGGUGUAUGCUGUCACUAAUUCAGCUUUAAAGAUAAGUUGUGGGUAUAACCAGGGAUGGCUUAAAAAAAAAAAAAAAGGAGAUGACUAAUUCUGAUCUGAAGGUCUUUUUGAUGGAGUCUUUAGAAGCAAAGUCUGAGGAUAAAAAGCUGCUGACUGUGCCUUCUUUUCUCUGAGUGACAGUAUAUGCAUUGCUAAGGUUAUACACUUGGACUUGUUCUCCAUCCUUGAUUGUUUAUCUCUGAGGUUUGACUGACAUCUCCUGUUUGGCUGCUUCAGAAGGUGUCAGCAGUGGCGGUCAGCUGAGGACUUAAAGGGAAUAUCAAAGGCUUGCAUAGGGAGGCAGUGGCUAGCAUCUCCAUGAGGGACCCAGGCUCAUGGUUUUUAAGAAUAUAGGGCUCAGAACAAUUGUACUCAUUGUUAAUAUUUAUUACAGAAAAAAAAAAAAAAACCAAAAGCAGCAUCAGCCAAAAGGACGUCUGAAGAUAACUAGGGGCAAGCUUUUUUUUAAAAAAACAAAACAAAACAAAACAAUUUUUUCAUUAGAUAUUUUCUUCAUUUACAUGUCAAAUGCUGUCCCCAAAGUCCCCUAUACACUCCCCCCACCCUGCUCCCCAACCCACCCACUCCAAAUUCCUGGCCCUGGCAUUCCCCUUUAUUGGGGCAUAUAAUCUUCACAAGAGCAUGUUUUCUUAUUACCAGUUGGAACAUCUUCUGGAUAUAUGCCCAGGCGAGGUAUUUCGGGAUCCUCCGGUAGUACAAUGUAUGUCCAAUUUUCUGAGGAACUGCCACACUGAUUUCCAGAGUGGUUGUACAAGCUUUCAAUCCCACCAACAAUGGAGGAGUGUUCCUCUUUCUCCACAUCCUCACCAGCAUCUGUUGUCACCUGAAUUUUUGAUCUUAGCCAUUCUGACUGGUGUGAGAUGGAAUCUCGGGGUUGCUUUGAUUUACAUUUCCCUGAUGAUUAAGGAUGCUGAACAUUUUUUUUUCAGGUGCUUCUCAGCCAUUCGGUAUUCCUCAGGUGAGAAUUCUUUGUUUAGCUCCGAGCCCCAUUUUUUAGUGGGGUUAUAUGAUUUUCUGGAGUCCACCUUCUUGAGUUCUUUAUAUAUAUUGGAUAUUAGUCCCCUAUCUGAUUUAGGAUAGGUAAAGAUCCUUUCCCAAUCUGUUGGUGGCCUUGUUGUCUUAUUGAUGGUGUCUUUCGCCUUAUAGAAGCUUCGCAAUUUCAUGAGGUCCCAUUUGUCAAUUCUCGAUCUUACAGCACAAGCCAUUGUUGUUCUAUUCAGGAAUUUUUCCCCUGUGCCCAUAUCUUCGAGGCUUUUCCCCACUUUCUCCUCAAUAAGUUUCAGUGUCUCUGGUUUAAUGUGGAGUUCCUUGAUCCACUUAGACUUGACCUUAGUACAAGGAGAUAGGAAUGGAUCAAUUCGCAUUCUUCUAUGAUAACCGCCAGUUGUGCCAGCACCAUUUGUUGAAAAUGCUGUCUUUUUUCCACUGGAUGGUUUUAGUUCUCUUGUCAAAGAUCAAGUGACCGUAGGUGUGUGGGUUCAUUUCUGGGUCUUCAGUUCUAUUCCAUUGGUCUACCUAUAUGUCGCUGUACUACUACUAUGCAGUGUUUAUCACAAUUGCUCUGUAUUACAGCUUUAGGUCAGGCAUGGUGAUUCCACCAGCAGUUCUUUUAUCACUGAGAAGGGUUUUUGCUAUCCUAGGUUUUUUGCUAUUCCAGAUGAAUUUGAAAAUUGCCCUUUCUAACUUGGUGAAGAAUUGAGUUGAAAUUUUGAUGGGGAUUGCAUUGACUCUGUAGAUUGCUUUCGGCAAGAUAGGCAUUUUGACUAUAUUAAUCCUGCCAAUCCAUGAGCAUGGGAGAUCUUUCCAUCUUCUGAGAUCUUCUUUCAUGUCUUUCUUCAGAGACUUGCAGUUCUUAUCAACCAGAUCUUUGACUUCCUUAGGUCGAGUCACACCAAGGUAUUUUAUAUUAUUUGUGACUAUUGUGAAGGGUGUUGUUUCCCUAAUUUCUUUCUCAGCCUGUUUAUCCUUUGUGUAGAGAAAGGCCAUUGACUUGUUUGAGUUAAUUUUAUAUCCAGCAACUGUACUGAAGCUUUUUAUCAGAUUUAGGAGUUUUCUGGUGGAAUUUUUAGGGUCACAAAUAUAUAAUAUCAUCUGCAAAUGUGAUAUUUUGCCUUUUUAUUUCCAAUUUGUAUCCCCUUGACUUCCUUUUGUUGUCUAAUUGCUCUGGCUAGGACUUCAAGUACUAUAUUGAAUAGGUAGGGGG
rnacentral:lncRNA from 1 species